AUUGAACGCUGGCGGCAUGCUUUACACAUGCAAGUCGGACGGCAGCGGGGUAGUGCUUGCACUACUGCCGGCGAGUGGCGAACGGGUGAGUAAUAUAUUGGAACGUACCGAGUAAUGGGGGAUAACCAAUCGAAAGAUUGGCUAAUACCGCAUACGCUCUGAGGAGGAAAGCAGGGGACCUUCGGGCCUUGCGUUAUUCGAGCGGCCAAUAUCUGAUUAGCUAGUUGGUGGGGUAAGGGCCUACCAAGGCGACGAUCAGUAGCGGGUCUGAGAGGAUGAUCCGCCACACUGGGACUGGGACACGGCCCAGACUCCUACGGGAGGCAGCAGUGGGGAAUUUUGGACAAUGGGCGCAAGCCUGAUCCAGCCAUGCCGCGUGUCUGAAGAAGGCCUUCGGGUUGUAAAGGACUUUUGUUAGGGAAGAAAAAGGAGCGGUUAAUACCCGUUUCUGCUGACGGUACCUAAAGAAUAAGCACCGUCUAACUACGUG
rnacentral:rRNA from 1 species